GUACCAGACUCCUACGGGAGGCAGCAGUGGGGGAUAUUGCACAAUGGGGGGAACCCUGAUGCAGCGACGCCGCGUGGGUGAAGAAGUCUUUCGGUAUGUAAAGCCCUAUCGGCAGGGAAGAAUUUAGACGGUACCUGACUAAGAAGCCCCGGCUAACUACGUGCCAGCAGCCGCGGUAAUACGUAGGGGGCAAGCGUUAUCCGGAUUCACUGGGUGUAAAGGGAGCGUAGACGGCCAUGCAAGCCUGGAGUGAAAGCCCGGGGCCCAACCCCGGGACUGCUCUGGGAACUGUGCGGCUGGAGUGCGGGAGGGGCAGGCGGAAUUCCUGGUGUAGCGGUGAAAUGCGUAGAUAUCAGGAGGAACACCGGCGGCGAAGGCGGCCUGCUGGACCGCGACUGACGUUGAGGCCCGAAGGCGUGGGGAGCAAACAGGAUUAGAUACCCUAGUA
rnacentral:rRNA from 1 species